CGUGGUGAAAGCAAGAACUG
rnacentral:sRNA from 1 species